rnacentral:rRNA from 1 species
AUUGAACGCUAGCGGGAUGCUUUACACAUGCAAGUCGAACGAGUGGCGGACGGGUGAGUAUUCUAUCGGAACGUCCCCAGUAGCGGUGGCUAUCUUCCCGAAAUAGUGGCUAACACCGCUUACUAUUGGAGCGGCCGAUAUCGGAUUAGCUAGUUGGUGGGGUAAAGGCUCACCAAGGCAACGAUCCUUAGCUGGUUUGAGAGGACGACCAGCCACACUGGGACUGAGACACGGCCCAGACUCCUACGGGAGGCAGCAGUGGGGAAUUUUGGACGAUGGGGGAAACCCUGAUCCAGCAAUCCCGCGUGUAUGAGAAGGCCUUCGGGUUGUAAAGUACUUUUGGCAGGGAAGCGGUAUCUGCAGAAUAAGCACCGGCUAACUACGUGCCAGCAGCCGCGGUAAUUC